CCUCUUCGCUUUGACGAGUAUGUGAAGCCGGUCUGCUUACCUAAACAACGUGCUGUACGUGAGGGCGCCGUGGUGGCGUCGCCUGAAUGGGGCACAAAAAAAGACGAGCAAGUGCACAAAUUCCUGUACCAUUCGACGGCGAAAAUUGUGCCAUUCAAACAGUGCGAUAAAAAUAUCGCACUGCCAAAAGUCUACGGUAUGAAAUGGGACCGUCUCCUAUUCUGCACACAGUCAAAUGGAGAGAACCCUUUGCUGGGUUUGGCUGGAGGACCUCUCACCGUCUUAGACGGCAAACAAGCAGUGCAAGUUGGAGUAGCCUCGUACACGUUCUGCAAAAAGGAUUACAAGCCGAGUGUGCACACUCGCGUGGGGCCCUACCUAACAUGGAUCAAGAAAGUGCUGAAGCGGUGCGCGAUGUGGCAGCGCCGCGGCAGUCGCAACGAAAAGCCACGUUAACGACUCGCAUCAUGACCAUAUCGCAUAACGCGCGUAACCAUAACGCAUUAGUACCACAAAGGCUCGCAUUACGAUUGUUGAUUGCGGAAACACGUUAUGCUACCAUAGCUCAUCCAAUUGUUUAGCCACUAACGAGACGAAGACGACGGCGCCACAGAGUGGAAGGAAGAUGUACUGAAUCGACAACUGAAAAUUUUCUUCGAAAUGAACAGGCCACAUAGAAGUUGGAAAAUGGUGGGCACGUGAAUCAGUUGUGCGAUAAAUACCGAAUAAUCGGGUAUACU